UCCUGCCUCAAUACUAAAUCAAAUUUUAAAUGUUCUGUCUCUUUUGAUUAGUACUUUUAGGGCACUGGUAGGCACCCACCUUACAAAGUUAUGGGCUGCAGCCUGGACCCAGGGAACACAGAGGGACCGGGAGGCAGUACUGAGACCUAAAAUGGUGGUGAGAGCCAGCCAAGAUAAAAUGGCUGACAGAUUUUUCAGAAACAGCUGUAGCUGGCGUUAUCAGCCAACUCUGAUAAAACCUGAAAAACCAAAGAGAUCCGUGGCUGUGUGUGGCGUGUGGCUCAAGGAGUACUCCCAGACUAUGUAACAUAGGAGGAAGUAUGGAGCCUUAUGAGACUCCAAACAAAAGCUUUCGUUUUGAAGAGCAGUAGUCUCCAAGUGACACCAUCUGGAAUCUCCCUGAGAGAUAGGAACAGAGCCACUGUAAAACAGUGCCUCCCACUCCCAACUCUUGAUCCAGAAGAAUAACAUGGUCUGAAAGCCACAGAGAGAUCCAAAAGGACCAGCAGUCAGACACCUUCUGUUGAUUCCUAAUUGGACCUCAUCCAUCAGGCUGAUCAAGGCAGUCUCAAGCCCACAGCCUGCCUGAGAGCUGAUUUGAAAUGGGUCCAGAUAAUCCGUUCCCCUCAAGAUUGUCACCAUGCUGUCUUUAUAGUACAAGAUAGGUGUAAUUCCUUUUGGUAAUACGGAAGAGCACAACUUUAUUUGGAGCAAUGCCUAUAGAAUUAGCCUCUUUCAUUUUUUUAAAUAUGAGAACUAUCUGUGUCUUCCUUGUUUCCAGCAUCCUUCACAUUGAAAAUGGUGGAUUGGUCACAAUUUCUGAGAGAAGAUACCUAAGAAAGAAGAAAGAAAUGUCUAAAUAUUUCUUGCACAAGCUUUCUAUUUCCAUCUAUAUGGUUGAGGAGGAGUCAUUUUGUUUGGGGAGAAACUCAUACUCCCUUUCUAUAGAUAGUGCCACUCCUUAUUGGGUCCUGCCCCAGUCACAUGCUCCUGAAGGCCUAAGACUGCUCAAGACUUUCUUGUAGGGAGAAUAGAAUAUUCUCCAGAAUAUUCUCUUGGAAGGGUGAAUCUGCUCAUAUUAAAAAGUGGAUGGUGGCAGCCUACCUGGGAUUCCUCACAGCUAGAGGAGAUUCAUUUGCAGCAGAAAACAAGAGAAAGACUGUAAAGAAGUUUAUACCACUCAGUUCAGGUCUACUGAGGGACAAUCCAGCAACAAGUCCAUUCCUGGGCCAUGUAGAGGUUAGUCUAGCAAUUCUACAGUGACAUCACCAUUUUCCUGUCCAGCUUUCCUGCUUGGUUGUGGAUUAGAGAGCAAUGUGCAACUGAACCAAGAUACAGAUCUGCACCAAGAUAUGGAUCUUGAGAGUUGACCAAAUAUUGACAUAUGACCGAUUAUCAUCUCACCAACUGUUUUUGCAGACAUAACCAAAGCCCAAGGAUUCCUAUAUGCAGUGCAUUCCAUGCAAAAGAGGGUUUUGCCAACUUUCUCAUAUGUCAAUGAAAGCUCUUCAGGAUACAGUCAGAAGGAGUCUUUGAAAUAGUAAGAUAAAGCACAAUAAGUUGUAGUAAUCACUUUUAAGUGGCAGGGAUGCCUGGAGUAAGAGGACAUCAAUCAUAUUCUUGGAGCUUAUACACAGAAUAACAUUGCUGAGAAAGUUGGUUUUGGAGAGCCCUUUUGGGGGGGGGGUAUGAACUUCUGGAAGAUGAAACCAACUGAAGGACCUGGAGCCAAGAAUGGUGGUGCCAGUUCAUUCCAAUACAAUUUUGUUCCCUCUAUUUAUCUGCUCUUCAGAAAAUGUUAGGUCUUCCAGUUCUCCAGACCAGAGGCUUCUUACCCUAGAAAGGAAAGGGAAAGAAUGCAGCAAUUCAUGCAAGGUUUCUUUCUGUUCAUCUCCAAAACUAGUCCUAAAACUGUGAGGCAGGCUUCCUCAAAGAGGCUCAAGCAAUUGCCAGGAGUGGCACAACUUGCUUCUUAAAUUUUCCCCUCUGCCUGAUUUUGUGUAUUUCUCACUUGGGCUUAGAAGUAAAGGCUCUGUCAGAUAUUUGUGAUCCUAUGGGAGUUUGGGGAAAAGAUGAAAAAUGUGUUUAAAAUCACCCGCUUACCCAUUUCUUUUGUGGGUUGGGUGGUAUGUAGCAACCAUCAUGCCCUACCACCCAACCCACUUUGGUAUCCUUAGGAGCUACCCAUGGGGAACAAUGGGGUGUUUUGAAUUUCCCCAUUGUCCGUUAUGGCUGGAACAAGCUGCACUCAUAGAGUACACCACACACAAGUUUUGCAUUGUAGUUUGCAAUGUAUUUUGCAAUCCUGCCUCGAAAAACACUGCAGAAGCACACAGUAAAAAUCUGUUCCUUCCAACACAGAAAAAAACCACACAUUUCAAACACAGUCCAAAAAUGAUCCCCCCCCCAAAAAAACCCCAAAAUUUCACCGACCCAGAAUCCGCCGCCAGUCAAAGUGCCUACGCUGCAGUAACAUCAUUGGCACAUAAAUAAACAACGGGCUUUUAAUUAGAUUUAUGGUUUUAAUUGUUAAUGUUGGUUUUAAAUUACUUUAAUGUUAAUGAUUUUAAUGUUUAAAUGAUUUUGUUUAAGUGAUUUAAUGUUUUUAAUGAUUUUAAUUGUAAACUGCCCAGAGACACAAGUUUUGGGCGGUAUAAAAAUAUGUUGAAUAAAUAAAGUAAGUUGCUUUCUCACAAACAAUUAUGACUCCUUAAAUUACUUGCUAGCAUUGCAACAGCUGCCACAGCAGCACCCUUUCUUAGCAGCAAGCAUAGCCAUAAGCUCAACUAGAGCAACUUCAGCCACAUUUUGACUGAGUACAUCCUGUAAUGCAGAGCAGACGCAAGUGUCUCAAGGUCAGACAUGGAGCUCAUCAUAGCAAUCACCAAGAAAUAUUACACAAACACAGAGAGCUGUCUAUUUCUCACCACAAAACUAUCUCACAAACAAACCAAACUACAACUCAAACGUUCAAGGCAGGCACCAAAGUUUUGCCUUUGUCAAUCUGAGAUCUAGCAAAACCAGACAGUUAUAGCAACAACAGCACAGCAUAUCAUGGCCACGCCACUAACAGAGAUCCAGUUGGCGGGGACUAUGAAUGCCCUCCCUGAAGAGCUUCGCCAUGCUCUCUCCCUCAGUGUUUUUAAAAAACAUCUUAAAAUACACCCUUUUAAGGAGGCUUUUUAAUGCUCCAUUUUUUGUUAUACCUGGUAGGUUCUUUAGCUUUUUAUAAUUUUUGGGUUUUAGCUUUUAAAAUAACCCUUAAUUUGAACCUAAUAAUGAUUGUGGUUUUUAAUCUGACAACUUUUGUGUUUAAUUUAAUUAAUUUUAUUACUUUUAUUGUAUCUUAUUAUCUUAUUGUUGUGAGCUGCCCCGUGCUUGGGGUGGGAUAUAAAUAUUUCAAAUAAUAAUAAAUAAAUAAAUAAAUAUCAAUGCUGAGAAAAUAAAACUUCAAAAAUCA